UACGUAGGGUGCGAGCGUUGUUCGGAAUCAUUGGGCGUAAAGCGGGUGUAGGUGGCUUUGUAAGUCAGGAGUGAAAUCCCCGAGCUUAACUUGGGAAGUGCUUUUGAAACUGCAGAGCUUGAAUGUGGGAGAGGAUCGUGGAAUUCCAGGUGUAGUGGUGAAAUACGUAGAUAUCUGGAGGAACACCGGUGGCGAAGGCGGCGAUCUGGCCCAACAUUGACACUGAGACCCGAAAGCGUGGGGAUCAAACAGG
rnacentral:rRNA from 1 species